AUUGAACGCUGGCGGCAGGCCUAACACAUGCAAGUCGAACGAGUGGCGGACGGGUGAGUAAUGUCUGGGAAACUGCCCGAUGGAGGGGGAUAACUCCUGGAAACGGUAGCUAAUACCGCAUACCAUCGGAUGUGCCCAGAUGGGAUUAGCUCGUAGGGGGGGUAACGGCUCACCUAGGCGACGAUCCCUAGCUGGUCUGAGAGGAUGUCCAGCGACACUGGAACUGAGACACGGUCCAGCCUCCUACGGGAGGCAGCAGUGGGGAAUAUUGCACCAUGGGCUCAAGCCUGAUGCAGCCAUGCCGCGUGUAUGAAGAAGGCCUGCGGGUUGUAAAGUACUUUCAGCGAGGAGGCGUUACUCGCAGAAGAAGCACCGGCUAACUCCGUGCCAGCCGCCGCGGUAAUUC
rnacentral:rRNA from 1 species